GUUCUCAUAGGAAUAGAUAAAAAGCCUGUUUGGGUGGGUGUGGUCAUGGUCUUAGUUUCCUUUUCCAUGAUUAAUAUUCCCUGGUUAGUGAGGGGAACAGGGGAUCGAAGGCAAUUGUGUUUUUUGGAAGAACUUCCCUUAGUCAGAUAAGAAAACUUCAGAGAGAGCUCCUGCCUGUGCUUGGAGGGAGAAAUUAAGGGAGGGCCAGAGAAACUUCAAUUCUGGGGCAGCUUCUAAGUCCUUCCAACUUCCUUUAAUACAAAGUGCUCAGCAUGCAAAAGUGCCGUACCUUGGGGUAUCAUUUUCUGUUGACUAGCCCAAAAGAAUGAAGCUUAAAAAAAAAAGAGAAUCUCCAAAUUUUUCUAAUUUAUAAAAAUUGAAUGAAUGUGGCAUUGAAUCAGGGAUUUAAAACAGAGUGUCUUAACCAUUUUAAAGUAAUAUAGUGCUAAAGUGCAUGCUGAGUAAUUCCAGGAGGUCUUCUUUUUUUUUUUUUUUUUUUUUGAUUCCUAGUAUCUUAAAUGUCUGCCAAAACAACUUAUAUGGCUUUUGUUAGUUGUCAUAUUGAAGAGGAAAUUAAAGACACCAUAGCAACCCAAAAUUUUCCAAGAAUCUGUGGACAUAUGAGUCUGCUGUGUGCUUUUCAAUAUUUACAGAGUCAACUAUAAGCUAUCAUGGUUUUAUAAAGCUGGUAGUAGUCCAAUCCCACAUACAUGUCAAGUGCCUUUGGGAACAACAAAUAACUCAUUAGACCUGUCCCCAAGUCUCCAGUUUAUAAUCCUCUUCAGAUUAUGUGUUGUCCUUUGGGUUUUGAAAAAAACCACAUAACAAAACCUACUUCUUUUCCAGGCCCAAGUUUGUGAUGCUUUCUUACUUCUCCAAGUUCACCUCGCUAGUAACAGUACUAUUUCCUCAAAAUUAAACCCAGAGGCAGUUUGAUGCAGACAACUUCUUUGAGUUUCCCAUAACCAAAAAAUAUAUAUUGACAUUUGUGCUGGACUGCAAUAAAUGCAUGCCCUGCUGUGCCCACCCUGAUCCUGUUCACAGGAAACCCCUGACAAACAACUCCAAGCCUUAGAAAAUCUCUCGUUUCUGGUUAUAGUCUCUUAAAGGAUUGUAUAAAACUUAGAAUAUUUUAUCUGGCUUUUCCCUUUCUUCAGGGAAAAAAAAAAAUCUCCAGUGAAUGAUAUCACUUACACAAAAAGAACAAAAUGCAUUUUUUUUUUUUAUUUUUUAAUGACUUUCUUUUAACCUACCCAAACUGCAUGCUAAGCCCAAACUUUGUAAUUCAUGGUCUUAGAAAUGUUAUGUUAUCAGUUCCCUGUCCCUUUCAUGGGCUGCCCCCUUUCUACUCUUUCAAGAGCCUGGUAAGUCAUAUGAUUGACUUUCAAACCAAGACUGGUUGAUGUGAGUAAAGGAAAUUGAAUUGGAAUACAAUCACCCCCUACUGCUCUGAACAGUUUUUUGUGCAUCUAAAUAUGAUCUGAAUUUCAGAUAUGGUUUUCUAUUUGACAUUGAUUUUCCUCCAGCUUAUAUGUGCUACAUCUUUACCUAAAUUGAGUUGUUAUCUUCUUCUGCCUUUUUGAACUUCACACUAUAAAUUAACUAUUAUCCUACUGAAAUAAAUUCCUUUGCAGAUUUUAUGUAUAUGGAAGGAAUUUCAAUUUCAUUUGAGGAUACACAUUGAGUU
rnacentral:lncRNA from 10 species